rnacentral:rRNA from 1 species
AAUAGCGUAUAUUAAAUUUGUUGCAGUUAAAAAGCUCGUAGUUUGAAUUCUGGCCGGAGCGGUUGGUGCGACUCUCUGAGUUGUUACUUGCAUCGUCUCUGGCCAUCCUUGGGGAGAACCUGUCUGGCAUUAGGUUGUCGGGCAGGGGGUACUCAUCGUUUACUGUGAAAAAAUUAGAGUGUUCAAAGCAGGCUUACGCCGUUGAAUAUACUAGCAUGGAAUAAUAAUAUAGGACCCUUGUACUAUUUUGUUGGUUUGUGCACGAGGGUAAUGAUUAACAGGGACAAUUGGGGAUAUUUGUAUUUCAGUGGAAGAGGUGAAAUUCUUGGAUUUCUGAAAGACAAACAACUGCGAAAGCAUUUAUCAAGGAUGUUUUCAUUAAUCAAGAACGAAAGUUAGGGGAUCGAAGAUGAUUAGAU